CACAAAGGGAUCCUCCAUGUUUCAACCGCAGUGUGUCUCUCCACCCACAGCUGGAAUGCAGUAAAGUGAGUUUCCAUGCUAUGAGAAAUAGUUCAGCUUGCCGCUGCUGAAUAAACACAGGCAUGAAUAUCAGGGUAGAGUUCGCUUUUUUAGGGCUGGCCAGCACGGGCUGGUUCUGCUCUAUUGUUACAAAAUUUCUACCCAUGUGGCAUGUAACUGGAAAGGUGGAAGACAUCACAACAAGUCUUCCAUUGUACUGGGAUGGAGUUUGGCUAAACUGGCAACACCACACGACCGCCAGACUUCACUGCACCUUCUAUCGGUCUCUGCUGAAUCUAACCGAGCACUUUAACACCUGGAACAUUCUCGUCAUCACUUCGAUAGGAUUGGGAACAUUUGCCAUUGUAGUUUACCCUCUGGGCUGGAUACGGUAUCCAAAGAACAUAUCAUUUAAAAUAGCCUCCGGGUCCAUGUUUGUUGUGAGUGGACUGGUUUUACUGGUGGUGAUUUCCUGGACUACAAAUUUAACUGCUGCGAAAGCCGAUGCAGUAUUGACUCGGGAAUUUGGAUCAGCAAUUUACACUGGCUGGAUAGGCACAGUGCUGCUUGUGGUGGGUGGUGUAGUGCUAACCAUUAUUUGCAGUUUAGCAGUCCUGGAUCAAAGACAGGAUGAAGGACCGGUGCAACCUUCGGAGCCAGGGGUUCAGGAUCCACUCCAGACCAUAGACAGCACUACAUUUCCACAAUACCCCUAACUGGAUAGAAGACUGUGAGUCCAAGAAUGACUAUUGUUACCUCUACUGUAGGAAUUAAUGAAACGUUUAGAAGAUCUUUUGUACAAAUAUACAUUUGUAUUUUGGUUUCAGUUUCAUUUCCUUGGACUCUUUGCUUGUUUACCUGAGUGUUAUUUCCCAUUUGCUUAGUGCUAAUUUGUUUUAAUAGUUUCUGAUGAUGCUCAUCACCUGUGUCUAGUUUAGUUCCUCGUAUAUUUAUUCCCUCAGUUUUCUCAGUUCCAGGUCCGGUAUUGACUCAAACAUUGUGUUAUGUUUACAGAGCUGGCUUGUUUACCUUCUGUCAGAUCCCAAGUUGUGAUCUUAUUUGUUUAAAUAAAGAAAAGUUAAGCUGCAUGUAGAUCCAAGCCUCACCUCUUCCCUUCGGGGGAAAAUAUCUCAGUCACAUUUUCAAAUGAGAAACGGCAGUUACUUUGUUUCCCCAUUUAUUGCCUGACAGCUCGUCUGAAGCACAGGUGACAGAGAUGAAAUGUCACAGACACAGACGCUCGUUAUUUCUCUGCGUCUGAAAGUGCACGUCAAAACUGUACACCAACUGCACACGAAACACUCAGGGAGUGGUCAGGACCUGCCAUGUACUAGAAUUAAAACAAACUGGCACCAAAUGUAGGUGUAACUGACUGAAUCGUGAAGUGUUAAGAACAGCCUUUGGUUGAAUGGAAAUGUAUCAGAAAUGUAUUUUAAAAGGGGGUCUGAGGUUUGUGAAUUAAAUAAUUAGAUUCCAGUUGUGAGGAAUUCAAGACUUUUUACUGCCAGAUGUUAGUUUGAUUGUAACAGACUUAACUUUCUUUUGUAAUCAUUGUUGCUGCCUUUAUUGGAGUAAUUGCUUUGAAAUGAAAUGUGUUUAGUUACUGAAGUAGCACAAGUGGAAUUCUGUUAUUCUGAGUGUGACCGCCAGAUGGCGGUAAAAGACAACCGAGGGAGAGACGAUGGAGAAAUUGAGUCGACGACCUCUUCUUCCAGGCUUGCUGACAUCAAAGACUGUUGUUAGGAUUUAGUUUUUGCUUUGUUCUUUUACAUCACAAAAACACCACACCUCCAUAUUCAACAGCUCUUGCUAUGCUCAGCUAUAUGGGAAAUGUCUUUGUUUUUAUUCUCUAGAGAACCCAUACUCACAUCAAGGGACUGUGCUAAUGACAAUAAAUACAAAAAAGUCAUUGGGAAGCCUGACUUGCUCUAAAAUUAAAAUGCCAUUUGUCCACUGUAUGUAUAAACAAUCAAUGCAAAAUGUUUCACUCCAGAUGUAUUUUGAAAUGUUAGCUAGCAGUUAAAUAAUAUCACACAGUGCUAUCACACUGUUUGUGAUCUGCUUUAAUUGACAUGAAUCUGUGUGAUCUGCAAGACAAGUAUUGCCUGAAUGCUAUGCUUUGAUGAGAACGAUACUUGUAAUAUUUUGUCUUUUGUAGACAUUGUGACAGUGUUAUGGAAAGUUACUUAUAAAAGUAAUGCAUUACAAUAUUGCAUUACAGUAUGAGUUACUUUGAUACUUUUAAUGGAAAGUAAUGCAUUGCAUUACUUUUGUUUUACCUUUUGUCACCUAAGCUGGUCUUGCUUAUUUGUUUUGUUAAUAACAAAAAACCUCAAAGUUAUAUUUUUGUACAACUGUAAAUUCUCAUCUGUAAAUGUGAGAAUAAGGUAACUGGUAUUACUUAUUUGAAAAAGUAACUUUGUAAUACCCUACUUUACUAGUUACUUGGAGAAAAGUAAUCUGAUUACAUGACUUGUAAUGUAUUACUCUCAAUACAACAUUGAGAUUUUAGUCACUGUAUUUUUGUCUCAAAAUGAUAGUCAAGUUUUAAAAUGAUUAUUUACGGUACAAUAAAGAAAUUAAGAAAUGGGUGGUAAUGUAAUGACAUAAUGCACAAAUGCUUUAUUAUGUAUUAGUAAUUCUAUUUGUGUUUAAAUAGUAUCUCCAGAUUGACUGUCUUUGUCAAAAACCAUCUCUGGCAUGCCACCCAAAAUGGUUUUCCUGUAGAGAGGCACUUUUACCCAGCUGUGCUCUGUUCAUUUCCUUCCCUUCUGCAGAUACAAAAGAAACUCACCGUACAAAUGACAGAUAAUUGCUGAGCUCUUCAGUCUCUGUACAAGGUGAAUGUGAGGCGGCAGUGUGUGAUCACUGAAUCAAUUAGAGCCUUCAGGAAAUGAGCAGACAACACACUAUCUUCAACAUCCACUAUAACGCGCUGUCCAGCUCUAUUCUUAACAACCCGUUACAGUUCCAGGUGGUCUAUGCCUGUGUUAACAACCCUGGUAGAUUUUGUUGUGGAUUAAGUUUGGACACUUCUGAAUUAAUCUUAGUAAUGUUUAUGAUCACAUUUGUGACUGAGCACUGAUAAAAUACUGAAGUACUGAAGGGUCUCUGUUUAGGGUUGCCAGGUUUUAGAAUAAUUUCCAGCCCAAAGAUGACUUGAGGCCUGCCAAAAAAUUAAUGAAAAUUAGCCCAUAUUUCCCCUGUCCAAUCAAAUUUGACAGCUGUAGGAUUCCCAUAAACAACUGAUUUUAUUUUAUUCUAUGCUUUAAAUUUAAUUUAUAUGAUUUUAGUUAGAUGUAGUAUGUUUAUAUGUAGUAUGUGCAUAUUUGAUUAAACUUUAAUCGUUACUUUUUUGUACUUUCACAAAAGUUCUUUUACUCUUUAAGUUUCAGCACUUAUUUAAUUUUAUUUAAUUGUUCAAAAUGUGAGCUAUAAUGGUAACUAGGAAUUACACACACUUCAGUCUGGACCCAGAACACCUAAGAAGAGAUGAUGCCAACCCUGAAACAUACAGCACUACCGAAUUUUGCUAUACGUUUGAUUUCAACAUAUAAUUCAUUACUGUUAAUAGUGUUCAUUUUUCAUUGAUUGAUUAUGUCAUUAACUGAUCUUUACCAUACAUCUCUGUCAUAUGUACAUCAGCUUGACAUAGUCACCACUAGUAAGCUACUACUAAAUAUAUUGUAGAAACUUUAAUUUUCU